UUUAUUUUGGCUGAAAAAAUCUGCUGGCUAAUACUCUACUUGUCUUAUUUGGAGCCCCACAGUCUGCCAAAACAACGGCACUAAAAGCUACUCUUUCAGUUGUUGGCAAAACAGAUAUUGUACAAGGAAUGACUUUCAAGGCAAUAAUGGAUGCUGUCUGCAAGACACCCAUUCCAUUUGGCUGAGAUUAUUGCAAAUUUUACAGACCGUCCGGUGGAGAUGGCAGAUGAUCAAGAGCUAGUCAAAGAUCAGAGGGCCUUGGUGUCCUACUCCCUCCUGGUUUUUGCAUUCAGAAUGGUGAGUAUACAAAUAUAAACUGGGUAACAAAGAAAGUUGGUUGCAUUGGGAUGGAAGCCAUUGGUUCUACAUCCCGACACUUCAGCUCUGAUAUUUAGUGAUUGGAUUAAUCCAUCUGAAAGAGAGCAAAAUUAAUAAGUGCAUGGAUGGGAAGUUAUGUAAAUAAAAAUAACUGAAAAAUAACAAGUCAGAACAAAAUCUUGCAUUAAUCCCAUUUAAAUCAUGACUGUAAUUUAAUUAUGUCUCACUUAUGAUGCUGUCUCUUCAAUUAAAUGCAGAUUCUUGAGAAGGUAGGGUUGCCAAAGCUCUUCAUCCUUCUAGAGGAAAAAAUUUAAAAAGUUGUACUGCCAAGUUAUGUGGGAGCAUCCCAUGUCACUGCAACAUCUGUUCAGUUGCCAAAGGAAGUUUGCAGUGACACCAACAAAGCGUUGAUGAAUUCCUUUGCAUCAAUUACUGCUUUCAAUGUUCAAAAUGUGGUUCCCUUUGUCAAUAAUAGAAUAAAGCCCUCUCAAUGAAGCUGUGGGGAAGCUGUAGCUUUUAAUGUGCCUUGCUUAGCUCAGCACAUUAAGGUUACUGGUAUCAACCCAGUGUUAACCAAUGCCACUAUAUAGCAUUUCAUUACCUCUAACGUUAUUGGUUGUAUGGGGAAGUCAAAUAAGGUUUGGAGCUGAACAACAAGCUUGACAUCUGCCUACACAACUUUUUCAUCACUGACUACCAGUACCACAUCUAGUACGUAAUAAUGAAUUGAAUUAAUUCAUUUAAGUACAAGUGCUUUACCAUGAAAACAAUCAGAAUGGUGGUUUUCAUGGUAAAGACAUCCUGCUCCAAAGGCCUACUGUUUCAGCCUGCUGGAAUUAUUGAGCCACUCCAUUGUUCAAGGUGGUCCCAGUUUUAGUGCUUUACAUCCAGCAAUCUACUUCUACUUAGCAGAUGCAAACCUUCUGUAUGUACUCUCUCAACUAAGAAGACCAGAUUUCCUCCUCAAUGCAGGUACUUUAGUGUACUUACAGAUUUUGUUACAUUUAUGCUCACAAGAACAUUGGAAUGUACUUAAUUUUGUACACUUUGUAUAGGGAAGAAACAGGUUCAUAGAGAGGGGGUUUAUUCAAAAAAUCAUACUUCCAAACAAGGAGCUUGUUAGAUACAGGGCUUACAGAUGGACUACUAUUUUUAGAGGGGAGGGUUGGGCAAUUACUGUAAAAAAAUUCCUGCACAACCUGACCCCAAGAAAUUAUUUCUAGCUCAGAAAAAAAUUGCCCACCCUCCUAAUGGUCAUUCCCUUAAUGGAGUUUUGACAUAAACAGAAUCAAAGGGUAAGUGAAAUAUUCCUGUCCCAAUCCAUAUGGCAUAUAAAGUGACAAUGGAACAUUUCUGAUAGGUUUUUUGAUUUCUUCUU